rnacentral:RNase_P_RNA from 1 species
GCGAGCCGGCAGGGUAGCUUCGCCCUUGCCUCAAAGCAAGGGUGAGGAAGUUCCCUCCAUCGAAGGUGUUGCGGAAGCAACAGGCUGAGAAGCCUCCGUCAGGAUCAGAAACGUAACCUCUUAGUCUCGCUAACGAUGAUAGACUGAGUGGAGGCUAAGAGGAUGAAACGGCCUGACGGGCCUGAUGAGAUGCAAGCUUUAGGCGCUUAGACAAAUGCUACCUCGAACAAAAGAGGGGCUACUGCCGGCACGC